UGUGAGGUACAAAGAUUUAUCACAUGGAUACAACAGAAUCCGUCAAUAAAAGUUUAUGGUAAAUGUAGACAUCAAUCUCAGUCAACAGUAAUCCAAACAUUUACUGUAACCGAGUGUCCUCCUCCAGUUUAUGGUUGUUGGACUUAUUUUGGACCAUGGGGAGUUUGUUCUAAAACAUGUGGUGGAGGACAACAGUCCAGAACUAGAACAUGCACUAAUCCUCCUCCAGCUCAUGGUGGUGACGAAUGUCAGGGAAGUUAUCAGCAGAUUAAAUCUUGUCAGGAACAAAACUGUCCAGGUACACGAGAAUGGGG